GGCAACCUGCCCUUUAGCUUGGGAUACCACUUGGAAACAGGUGCUAAUACCAAAUAAGAAGCUAAGAGCGCAUGCUCAAGCUAUGAAAGGCGGCUUUCGAGCUGUCACUAAAGGAUGGGCCCGCGUGCAUUAGCUAGUGGUAGUAACGCUUACAAGGCAAUGAUGCAUAGCCGAGUUGAGGGACUGAUCGGCCACAUUGGGACUGAGACACGGCCCAAACUCCUACGGGAGGCAGCAGUAGGGAAUCUUCCACAAUGGACGCAAGUCUGAUGGAGCAACGCCGCGUGAGUGAAGAAGGUUUUCGGAUCGUAAAGCUCUGUUGUUGGUGAAGAAGGAUAGGGAUAGUAACUGAUUCUUAUUUGACGGUAAUCAACCAGAAAGUCACGGCUAACUACGUG
rnacentral:rRNA from 1 species